rnacentral:rRNA from 1 species
UGGGGAAUAUUGGACAAUGGGCGCAAGCCUGAUCCAGCCAUGCCGCGUGAGUGAUGAAGGCCCUAGGGUUGUAAAGCUCUUUCACCGGUGAAGAUAAUGACGGUAACCGGAGAAGAAGCCCCGGCUAACUUAGUGCCAGCAGCCGCGGUAAUACGAAGGGGGCUAGCGUUGUUCGGAUUUACUGGGCGUAAAGCGCACGUAGGCGGACUUUUAAGUCAGGGGUGAAAUCCCGGGGCUCAACCCCGGAACUGCCUUUGAUACUGGAAGUCUUGAGUAUGGUAGAGGUGAGUGGAAUUCCGAGUGUAGAGGUGAAAUUCGUAGAUAUUCGGAGGAACACCAGUGGCGAAGGCGGCUCACUGGACCAUUACUGACGCUGAGGUGCGAAAGCGUGGGGAGCAAACAGG